rnacentral:rRNA from 1 species
CUGCUGCCUCCCGUAGGAGUCUGGUCCGUGUCUCAGUACCAGUGUGGGGGACCUUCCUCUCAGAACCCCUACGCAUCGUCGCCUCGGUGGGCCGUUACCCCGCCGACUGGCUAAUGCGACGCAUGGCCAUCCUAUGCCGGAGUCGCCUCCUUUGACCCCCUGGAGAUGUCUCCAAAUGGUGUUAUGCGGUAUUAGACGGAAUUUCUUCCGCUUAUCCCCCUGCAUAGGGCAGGUUCCAUACGUGUUACUCACCCGUGCG